AUACGGAGGGGACUAGCGUUGUUCGGAAUUACUGGGCGUAAAGAGUUCGUAGGCGGACUGAUAAGUAAGAGGUGAAAUCCCAGGGCUCAACCCUGGAACUGCCUCUUAAACUGUCAGUCUAGAGACCGGAAGAGGUUAGGGGAAUACCUAGUGUAGAGGUGAAAUUCGUAGAUAUUAGGUGGAACACCAGUGGCGAAGGCGCCUAACUGGUCCGGUACUGACGCUGAGGAACGAAAGCGUGGGGAGCAAACAGGAUUAGAAACCCUAGUAGUCC
rnacentral:rRNA from 1 species